AUUGAACGCUGGCGGCAGGCUUAACACAUGCAAGUCGAGCGGAGCGAGGGUGCUUGCACCUUAGCUUAGCGGCGGACGGGUGAGUAAUGCUUAGGAAUCUGCCUAUUAGUGGGGGACAACAUUCCGAAAGGAAUGCUAAUACCGCAUACGCCCUACGGGGGAAAGCAGGGGAUCUUCGGACCUUGCGCUAAUAGAUGAGCCUAAGUCGGAUUAGCUAGUUGGUGGGGUAAAGGCCUACCAAGGCGACGAUCUGUAGCGGGUCUGAGAGGAUGAUCCGCCACACUGGGACUGAGACACGGCCCAGACUCCUACGGGAGGCAGCAGUGGGGAAUAUUGGACAAUGGGCGGAAGCCUGAUCCAGCCAUGCCGCGUGUGUGAAGAAGGCCUUUUGGUUGUAAAGCACUUUAAGCGAGGAGGAGGCUACCUGGAUUAAUACUCUAGGAUAGUGGACGUUACUCGCAGAAUAAGCACCGGCUAACUCUGUGCCAGCAGCCGCCGUAAGAC
rnacentral:rRNA from 1 species